GCAUUGGUCGUUCAGUGGUGGAAGUCUUGCCUGGCACGCGGGAGACCCAGGUUCGUUUCCCGCCCAAUGCA
rfam:Danio rerio chromosome 4, GRCz11 reference primary assembly.